CUUUGAGUAAGAUGCUGUAUUUGGAAAGUAUUUCUAAUUCACUUUAUGUAUAUUUGUUUUGUAAUUAUUGUGUUGGCGAGCUUACAUCAUGUGAGUGUUAGCUAGCUAGUUUAGUUUAGCAAUCAGCUUAGCCUUUUUAAAUUUAAGUUCAGUUACCCUUACUUUAGUUUAGCUUAUUUUAGUUUUAGUUUAAUUUAUCUUAACAGUUUAGUAAUCUUGGUUUAGCUUAGCCUAGAAUAACUUAUUUCAAUUUAGUCUAGUUAAGUUUAGCUUACCGGAAGUUUAAUUUAGUUCAGUUCAGUUAAGCUUGGUUUAGUUUUUGUAUAGAUUAGUUUUUAAUUUAGUUUGGUUGAGUUUGGUUUUAGUUCAUAUUAGCUUAUUUUUGCUUGAUUUAGUAUAGUUUAGUUUAACUUAGCUUAUAGUUAUUUAUUUGUCAGGAAAUGCUCACUAAUGAAAGGAAUUACUUAAAGUUAUUAAACCUACAUUCUCAUCCAUUCUCAUAAAGAAUAUCCAUCAUUGUAUGGAUAAUGUUCAUUUUCUACAUGAAAACCUUGAGUCAGUGUUGGAUUAGGCCUAGCCUAUAUAGUAUUUUGGUAUUCCCCGUACUCAAACUUCUCAUACAUCGGAGACGUUUCACAGCUGCGGUCACGGCACAGGUUUGAACCAGGCGAGAGGGAGUCGAGUUAAUCCCAGGUUGAUCCUCACAACAAAGCAGUGCAGGUGCUGUCAGACAGGUAACUGAUGGGGUUAGAUUGCUCCGACAGAAUUUUAAAGCAGUUAUAAAAGUGACUUUUUUAUUUGAUUGCUGUUAGGUCUUGCUGGCCCUGACUCCAUUCAAGGUUUGUUUGAAGACAACGCAAAAACCGAAGGACAUGGGGAGGGUUUCAGUCAGAACGUUCCACCUCUCGUGGCCACUAAUGGCCGGCGUACAUGCCUCUGCAUUAAUCAGGGUGCUGUGAACCUGCCGUUUAAUCGCAGAGGAAGCCGAGCAGGUUCACUAUACGAUAUCCGACGGCACCGUCACGGAAGUAUAGCACCCACCUCCAGUUCCCCCUCAGAUACAGCUAACAGCAGGAUUUGACAGCAGACGGUCGUCUCCAGUCUCUGAGGAGAGGACACGAGUGGUCGGAGAGUUCAGGCUGAGGUCACUUUCCAAACGUUCCGGUGUGUGCACCGACCCGGCCGUGGGGUGGAGUGAGCAGCGAGAGGUCGUGAGAGGUCAGUGGAGACACCGAGAAGCAGCCAAGCACACUUUGACCAACAUCAGUAACUCACAGAUCAUGCUGGUGUUCUACGGUAUAUUUUUCUUAUUGUCAACAAAAAUGCGUUAAUGUGUUAGUCCGUCUCGCAAUAUAAUACUUGCUGACGGCCUUUUCAUGUCUGUUGCACUCAGCCCCAAGCCCAUUGGUUCCUAUUGAAGACAUAAAUAUUUCGUUCAUAUCUUAAAAAUAAAAAAAGGCUAUAUAAUUUACUAAAACAGCCGGGCACUGUAGUUUUUAGCAAACGUUACUUAAACAGGAGUAAAUAGUCUAUUUGUUGGGAACUAUUUUCAGCUGCAGAUUAAUACAUAUUUUGUGCUCUAGUGAGUAUUUACAACAGUAGGGCAGCACAUGUGGGGUUUAUUCAGAAUAAACUACAGUGAGUGUGUUCAUCGCACUUAAGGAAGAUGUCACCCAGUGCAACAGUGGGGCCAAUUAAUGUGUUUUUGAUAGUUUUUGGACAACGAUGGAGUUCUAUGAGAGGAAUAAGAAAAAUCAGGCUUUGGAUACAGAGACGAUACUUGUCAGUACGAUAAAUUCAUUUGCCAUGUUUCCAUUCACCUCUUUUUAUUUUUAUUAGAAAUGCUGUAUGUAAAUGGCAAGAUUCGAUAAAACUCCCUCAAUUGUGAAAAAAAGUUGAGGUGGUUUUUGCCUUUGUUGAAAAAGAGUUGAUGGGCUAAAUGCUUUAUGGAAACACCUUUGCCGAAUAAAUUCUGACGUAAUUGGAACUCACAUGACUGAUCACCUGUCUCCGCUCUCGGCGUCUUUGCGGAUAUUCCUAUAUUGUGCAAAUACUUGUCUUUGUCUCUGGACAGCAUGAAACAUGGUCAAUACUGGCUGACAUGAAAGAACAAUUAAAACUUGUCCAAUAGAAAGUAAUUUUCGAAGACCUCUCUCCACUUUUCUCUCGUAGAUGGGUUAGAUGCAGGUUGUACCUCUUUCACAACAAUGACCAGGGUUAUCAGACCCAUGUUCAAACCCUAUUUGUCAAUUCAAACUAAGCCAGUCAACUCGGGUUAAUCCCAUGUCAUGCCAAUUCAGAUACGACCUGGGUCACAACCCGGGAGCAAUGCAUACCAAUUAGCUCAGGUGUUGGAAAUGGGUGGGGGGUUUAAAUUUCAUGAAGUGUGCUAAUUGCUUGAUA